UACGUAGGGUGCGAGCGUUAAUCGGAAUUACUGGGCGUAAAGCGUGCGCAGGCGGUUCGUUGUGUCGGCGGUGAAAGCCCCGGGCUCAACCUGGGAAUGGCCGUUGAAACUGGCGAACUGGAGUGUGGCAGAGGGGGGUGGAAUUCCGCGUGUAGCAGUGAAAUGCGUAGAGAUCCGGAGGAACACCAAAGGCGAAGGCAGUGUCCUGGGGAGUACCUGACGCUCAGGUGCGAAAGCCAGGGGAGCGAACGGG
rnacentral:rRNA from 1 species